rnacentral:rRNA from 1 species
UACGUAGGGUGCGAGCGUUGUCCGGAAUUAUUGGGCGUAAAGAGCUCGUAGGCGGUCUGUCGCGUCUGCUGUGAAAACCCGAGGCUCAACCUCGGGCCUGCAGUGGGUACGGGCAGACUAGAGUGCGGUAGGGGAGAAUGGAACUCCUGGUGUAGCGGUGGAAUGCGCAGAUAUCAGGAAGAACACCCGUGGCUAAGGCGGCUCUCUAGUACGGUACUGACGCUGAGACGCGAAAGCGUGGGGAGCGAACAGG